rnacentral:rRNA from 1 species
UACGUAGGGUGCAAGCGUUAAUCGGAAUUACUGGGCGUAAAGCGUGCGCAGGCGGCUUUGCAAGACAGAUGUGAAAUCCCCGGGCUCAACCUGGGAACUGCAUUUGUGACUGCAUAGCUAGAGUACGGUAGAGGGGGAUGGAAUUCCGCGUGUAGCAGUGAAAUGCGUAGAUAUGCGGAGGAACACCGAUGGCGAAGGCAAUCCCCUGGACCUGUACUGACGCUCAUGCACGAAAGCGUGGG